AAUCCAUAGGUUAAUGAGGCGAACCGGGGGAACUGAAACAUCUAAGUACCCCGAGGAAAAGAAAUCAACCGAGAUUCCCCCAGUAGCGGCGAGCGAACGGGGAGGAGCCCAGAGCCUGAAUCAGCAUGUGUGUUAGUGGAAGCGUCUGGAAAGGCGCGCGAUACAGGGUGACAGCCCCGUACACAAAAGCGCAUGUGCUGUGAGCUCGAUGAGUAGGGCGGGACACGUGGUAUCCUGUCUGAAUAUGGGGGGACCAUCCUCCAAGGCUAAAUACUCCUGACUGACCGAUAGUGAACCAGUACCGUGAGGGAAAGGCGAAAAGAACCCCGGCGAGGGGAGUGAAAAAGAACCUGAAACCGUGUACGUACAAGCAGUGGGAGCACCCUUUGGGGUGUGACUGCGUACCUUUUGUAUAAUGGGUCAGCGACUUAUAUUCUGUAGCAAGGUUAACCGUAUAGGGGAGCCGGAGGGAAACCGAGUCUUAAUUGGGCGUUAAGUUGCAGGGUAUAGACCCGAAACCCGGUGAUCUAGCCAUGGGCAGGUUGAAGGUUGGGUAACACUAACUGGAGGACCGAACCGACUAAUGUUGAAAAAUUAGCGGAUGACCUGUGGCUGGGGGUGAAAGGCCAAUCAAACCGGGAGAUAGCUGGUUCUCCCCGAAAGCUAUUUAGGUAGCGCCUCGUGAAUUCAUCUCCGGGGGUAGAGCACUGUUUCGGCUAGGGGGCCAUCCCGGCUUACCAACCCGAUGCAAACUGCGAAUACCGGAGAAUGUUAUCACGGGAGACACACGGCGGGUGCUAACGUCCGUCGUGAAGAGGGAAACAACCCAGACCGCCAGCUAAGGUCCCAAAGUCAUGGUUAAGUGGGAAACGAUGUGGGAAGGCCCAGACAGCCAGGAUGUUGGCUUAGAAGCAGCCAUCAUUUAAAGAAAGCGUAAUAGCUCACUGGUCGAGUCGGCCUGCGCGGAAGAUGUAACGGGGCUAAACCAUGCACCGAAGCUGCGGCAGCGACGCUGAUGCGUUGUUGGGUAGGGGAGCGUUCUGUAAGCCUGUGAAGGUGUGUCGUGAGGCAUGCUGGAGGUAUCAGAAGUGCGAAUGCUGACAUAAGUAACGAUAAAGCGGGUGAAAAGCCCGCUCGCCGGAAGACCAAGGGUUCCUGUCCAACGUUAAUCGGGGCAGGGUGAGUCGACCCCUAAGGCGAGGCCGAAAGGCGUAGUCGAUGGGAAACGGGUUAAUAUUCCCGUACUUGGUGUUACUGCGAAGGGGGGACGGAGAAGGCUAUGUUGGCCGGGCGACGGUUGUCCCGGUUUAAGCGUGUAGGCUGGUUUUCCAGGCAAAUCCGGAAAAUCAAG
rnacentral:rRNA from 1 species